rnacentral:lncRNA from 1 species
UAAAGCAGCUCAGCACAGGGAGCCAGGUGGCCUGGGUCAGGUCGUAGCCCCAUCACUCAUGAGCUGUGUAAACUUAGGCAAGUUACUUCCACAACAUGCUCCGACAUCCUCAUCCAUGGAGUGGGAAUGAUGGUGUUGAUGUGCUCAUUAGCUUGUCUUUACUCCUGAGGCUGGACUGAGAAUUAAACGGGGAGGUGUAUUCACAGCAGUGAGCACAGAACCCCAUGUCAGUGUCACAUAUUGGUACAAUGACUUCUGUGUCUAAGGGGUCUGCAUCAUCUCACCCCGAGGCCUUUGCACUGGCUGUUUCCUCUGCCUGGAAUGUCCUGUCCUUGACUGCACAUCCUUCAGAUGUCAGCUCCCUGACCCUCCCUGUCAUACGUUCCCAAAGCUCCCUGGAAUUCUGUCCUGAUGUCCGUUACAGUUCGCAAUUCUGUCUUUACAGUGGUCACUCCUUGCCUCCUGGUCCCUCUGAAAACACAUUUUGAAUGCGUGAAGUAAGGAGUGAGUGAGUGAGCUGAACGGUCUGCUAACUCAGGGACGGCUUCUUCCCUGGGAAAAUGCCUCCUGACCAUGGCCCACACCCAGAGCGCUCUGGUAUGCAGGCUGGGAGGUGCUGACUUCCUUCCUGACUGGCCCUCCGGCGGGCCUAGAAUACCCUUUGACCUUGCAGUGGUCUUGGGGCUGUAAACAGUCCAAAUUCUUGAUCACCUGAUCAGGAAGGCACCUGCCAUCAGAUCCUCUCAGCACCUGCAGCUGAUGACAAAGCUCCAGCAAGGUCCGUGACGGGCAGGUGGGUUGAGUCACACACUCCCUGGGGUGUAGUAAACAAGCUGUAACAAGCACAUAAUUAUCCCCAAAGGAGAAUUCUGUCCUUUUUCCUUCUAAGUACAUUUGAACAUUAUGAGCUUUUAAUUAAAGCGAAGGCAGGUGUCACUCUGCACUAAGACAAUACAUAACAAAUGAGGGUGCAGACGGUGCGAACAGGAUUUGGGUGUUUAUAACGCAAGGUAAUUGUGACGCUGUUCUACGAAAUGCAUUUUGUUCUUGAAACUGAAAUUGACGUUGAUGUCUUUUCAAAGCCUUAUGCAUUUUAACUUGCGCAGAGCCUUCUUUCCCAGUUCUCAGUGCUCUGCCAGGAGCACUGGGGAUCAGGACAUUCUGGGAGCCGAGCCGAGGAUGAGCUGUGGCUGAGCUCCCAUAAUGAGAUGGUCCGGCUCCCAAGCCUGUCCCGUGUGGGCAGCACCGGGGCAUCUGGAGUCUGAGUGCAGAGGUGAGGGUCCCGGUCCUGUCACGGUGGAGCUCUGGAAGUCACGGAGGUUUACAGGAGGGGCUUUCACUUCCCCAGGAACCUGAGUCAUGGACACAAUCUCUGCCAGGGACGCGUCAUGCUGCUCCGGGUCCAAGCUGCAGACCUGGACUCUGGCCAGUGCCAAGCAUCAGGAAUUUGGAGACAGCGGAAACGCAAUGGAUUUUCACCCAGAACUUAGCACUUCCCCCUUUUCUGACCCCCUGUGCGCACCACGUGGAGGGGAGGAAGGGAGGGAGGGAGCUUGGCUCAGAGCAGCCUCACAGCAAACAUCCCUGACACAGCCUCCUCGGCCUAUCCUGGGUGAGAGUCCCCUCGGGACCUGGCACAAGACACCAGCUCCCAGGGACAGCGUCCACCGGCGCCCGCCUGGCAGGUUAUCCAUGGCUUUGUGAGUGCUGACCCACAGCAGGGAGAGCAAUCCCAGGCCACGUGAAAGGUGAACAGAACACGCUCCCAGGACAGAAAGUCCCGUGCAGCAUCAGUCUCCUCGUUCCACUACAACCUGGUGAGGGUCCCGGCCUCGUCUUCCUCUGGGCUGUCAGCAGUGGGUGCAGUAAACGGGAGUGUUCCCUUGUCUAACAGCAGCUCACCCCGAUUCUGGAGAUGUCCAGGGCCCCCUACCACCUGGGGGCCUCUCCACGUCCUAGCUCGGCAGUUACCGCAUCCCAGCUGAGCCCCACCUCCGCUAACAGGAGGGGCCCACACAGGCCUCUGCAGCAGGACGUAACCUGGGGAGAUUUAUGAAGCAAGUCAACGAGGAACUUCCGCACAAGCUCUUUUUUAUCUAAGAGAUGAAGCCUUCACUGCAAAACA